CCGACCGCUGACGUUGCACGCUGGCGGAGCCAAGCUGUCAUGGCCGCAAGACGCGAGGCCCCGAGUGGACCACGUUUAGGCGCACUAAGUUUACUGUUGCAAGGUGUUCAGCGCAGUAAUUGCGGAGAGUGUGCGGGCAUCGUGGGGCGUUUGUGUCUCGGCGCUGGGCGGUCCUCUGCGUGUUUGGGUGGCGUGCCGCGGUGAAUUCUACACGGCUCCUGCUGGCGGGAAGCCUCCCCUUUUCUUUCUAUUUUCUUUCUCCGUGUACCUGGUCUGUUCUGUGGUCGUGGCCCUUGGUGAAAGGACUCGCUCUCUGAAGUCUUCGUCUUGGGGGAAGAGCUACUGCGAGGCGCAAUAUUGACUGUGAUAAUGGUCCUAAGGUAACUCCAAGCAACGAGGCCAUGCGACCCAAUGAACGCACAGGACUGGUGGAGGAUAUUUGUUAUUAACCCCUUUGCAAAAAUGGAUAAUAAAUUCAAUGUAAAGUAUAUUCAAGUCUCACGCCAUAUUCAGUCAACGAACCUGUGUGUCUAUAGUGGGUGGGGAAAAACACUGUGUCCUGGCAUUACCAGGUGGCGUUGUUGGCAACUUUACUACCUUGAAGUACAUGUACAAAUAUGCUGCUCUGCUACACAAAGAACACAGGGAGUGACAA